GACGUAGGGCGCGAGCGUUGUCCGGAUUUAUUGGGCGUAAAGAGCUCGUAGGCGGCUUGUCGCGUCGACUGUGAAAACCCGCGGCUCAACUGCGGGCCUGCAGCCGAUACGGGCAGGCUAGAGUUCGGUAGGGGAGACUGGAAUUCCUGGUGUAGCGGUGAAAUGCGUAGAUAUCUGGAGGAACACCGGUGGCGAAGGCGGCAUCCUGGACCAAUACUGACACUGAGGAGCGAAAGCCAGGGGAGCAAACGGG
rnacentral:rRNA from 1 species